UCGCGCAAGGUUUUUGACUUUUUAUUUUAUUAUUUCUUUAAUAUUAAUUAAUUUAUAUUAAUUUAUUCAAAUUUUUACUUUUUAAAUUUAAUUUGAUUGUAUGAUUUCUUUUUAAAAUUACUUUAAUUUAAUUGUAUGAUUUUUUUAAUUACUUUAAUUUAAAUUGACAUAUUCAAAAUAAAAUUACAUAUGAAAAAUAGUGAUCAAAUUAUCCAAUAAAUAUAUAUAUAAUAUUCAAAAUGUACACAUAAAUUAACAAAGUACAAUAAUAAAAUCCUAAUACAAGCGUAUUGUGGUGGUAGUGGCGGAGGAUAUGUUUUGAUAGCUUCCAAAUCCUCAACUUUAGCCGUCAAAGUCUCUAUGAUUCCCUACAAAAAAACAAAUAUGGUCAAAUAACCAAAAAAGAAGAAAAAAAGAAGGCAUAAUCUUCCCUAAAAUUGUUAUACCACAAAUCCAACCCAAACUCCAAUCCCUCCCCUUUACUCAACCCAAAACCCACACAAACUCAAAAUUAAC
rnacentral:lncRNA from 1 species